CGGGACACGUGGUAUCCUGUCUGAAUAUGGGGGGACCAUCCUCCAAGGCUAAAUACUCCUGACUGACCGAUAGUGAACCAGUACCGUGAGGGAAAGGCGAAAAGAACCCCGGCGAGGGGAGUGAAAAAGAACCUGAAACCGUGUACGUACAAGCAGUGGGAGCACGCUUAGGCGUGUGACUGCGUACCUUUUGUAUAAUGGGUCAGCGACUUAUAUUCUGUAGCAAGGUUAACCGAAUAGGGGAGCCGAAGGGAAACCGAGUCUUAACUGGGCGUUAAGUUGCAGGGUAUAGACCCGAAACCCGGUGAUCUAGCCAUGGGCAGGUUGAAGGUUGGGUAACACUAACUGGAGGACCGAACCGACUAAUGUUGAAAAAUUAGCGGAUGACUUGUGGCUGGGGGUGAAAGGCCAAUCAAACCGGGAGAUAGCUGGUUCUCCCCGAAAGCUAUUUAGGUAGCGCCUCGUGAAUUCAUCUCCGGGGGUAGAGCACUGUUUCGGCAAGGGGGUCAUCCCGACUUACCAACCCGAUGCAAACUGCGAAUACCGGAGAAUGUUAUCACGGGAGACACACGGCGGGUGCUAACGUCCGUCGUGAAGAGGGAAACAACCCAGACCGCCAGCUAAGGUCCCAAAGUCAUGGUUAAGUGGGAAACGAUGUGGGAAGGCCCAGACAGCCAGGAUGUUGGCUUAGAAGCAGCCAUCAUUUAAAGAAAGCGUAAUAGCUCACUGGUCGAGUCGGCCUGCGCGGAAGAUGUAACGGGGCUAAACCAUGCACCGAAGCUGCGGCAGCGACGCUGAUGCGUUGUUGGGUAGGGGAGCGUUCUGUAAGCCUGUGAAGGUGUGCUGUGAGGCAUGCUGGAGGUAUCAGAAGUGCGAAUGCUGACAUAAGUAACGAUAAAGCGGGUGAAAAGCCCGCUCGCCGGAAGACCAAGGGUUCCUGUCCAACGUUAAUCGGGGCAGGGUGAGUCGACCCCUAAGGCGAGGCCGAAAGGCGUAGUCGAUGGGAAACAGGUUAAUAUUCCUGUACUUGGUGUUACUGCGAAGGGGGGACGGAGAAGGCUAUGUUGGCCGGGCGACGGUUGUCCCGGUUUAAGCGUGUAGGCUGGUUUUCCAGGCAAAUCCGGAAAAUCAAGGCUGAGGCGUGAUGACGAGGCACUACGGUGCUGAAGCAACAAAUGCCCUGCUUCCAGGAAAAGCCUCUAAGCAUCAGGUAACAUCAAAUCGUACCCCAAACCGACACAGGUGGUCAGGUAGAGAAUACCAAGGCGCUUGAGAGAACUCGGGUGAAGGAACUAGGCAAAAUGGUGCCGUAACUUCGGGAGAAGGCACGCUGAUAUGUAGGUGAAGCGACUUGCUCGUGGAGCUGAAAUCAGUCGAAGAUACCAGCUGGCUGCAACUGUUUAUUAAAAACACAGCACUGUGCAAACACGAAAGUGGACGUAUACGGUGUGACGCCUGCCCGGUGCCGGAAGGUUAAUUGAUGGGGUCAGCGCAAGCGAAGCUCUUGAUCGAAGCCCCGGUAAACGGCGGCCGUAACUAUAACGGUCCUAAGGUAGCGAAAUUCCUUGUCGGGUAAGUUCCGACCUGCACGAAUGGCGUAAUGAUGGCCAGGCUGUCUCCACCCGAGACUCAGUGAAAUUGAACUCGCUGUGAAGAUGCAGUGUACCCGCGGCAAGACGGAAAGACCCCGUGAACCUUUACUAUAGCUUGACACUGAACAUUGAGCCUUGAUGUGUAGGAUAGGUGGGAGGCUUUGAAGUGUGGACGCCAGUCUGCAUGGAGCCGGCCUUGAAAUACCACCCUUUAAUGUUUGAUGUUCUAACGUUGACCCGUGAUCCGGGUUGCGGACAGUGUCUG
rnacentral:rRNA from 1 species